AUGCAGCUGACGAGUCUCAACUAGGACGAAACUCGCGUCUUGGAU
rnacentral:hammerhead_ribozyme from 1 species